ACGCCUAACACAUGCAAGUCGAGCGCUCUAACCACUUCGGUGGGGACGGGAGCGGCGGACGGGUUAGUAACGCGUGGGAACAUACCCUUUUCUACGGAAUAGCCUCGGGAAACUGAGAGUAAUACCGUAUACGCCCUUCGGGGGAAAGAUUUAUCGGUUAAGGAUUGGCCCGCGUUAGAUUAGUUAGUUGGUGGGGUAACGGCCUACCAAGACGACGAUCUAUAGCUGGUUUGAGAGGAUGAUCAGCAACACUGGGACUGAGACACGGCCCAGACUCCUACGGGAGGCAGCAGUGGGGAAUCUUAGACAAUGGGCGCAAGCCUGAUCUAGCGAUGCCGCGUGAGUGAAGAAGGCCUUAGGGUCGUAAAGCUCUUUCGCCUGUGAUGAUAAUGACAGUAGCAGGUAAAGAAACCCCGGCUAACUCCGUGCCAGCAGCCGC
rnacentral:rRNA from 1 species